GACCUCGGAUCAGGUAGGAAUACCCGCUGAACUUAAGCAUAUCAAUAAGCGGAGGA
rnacentral:rRNA from 22 species